AGUCGAGCGGCAGCGCGGGGGCAACCCUGGCGGCGAGCGGCGAACGGGUGAGUAAUGCAUCGGAACGUGUCCUCUUGUGGGGGAUGACCAGUCGAAAGACUGGCUAAUACCGCAUGAGAUCGAGAGAUGAAAGCAGGGGACCCGAGGGUAACUGAGGGCCUUGCGCGAGAGGAGCGGCCGAUGCCGGAUUAGCUAGUUGGUGGGGUAAAAGCCUACCAAGGCGACGAUCCGUAGCUGGUCUGAGAGGACGACCAGCCACACUGGGACUGAGACACGGCCCAGACUCCUACGGGAGGCAGCAGUGGGGAAUUUUGGACAAUGGGGGCAACCCUGAUCCAGCCAUGCCGCGUGUGUGAAGAAGGCCUUCGGGUUGUAAAGCACUUUCGGCCGGAACGAAAUCGCGCGGGCUAACACUCCGCGUGGAUGACGGUACCGGAAGAAGAAGCACCGGCUAACUACGUGCCAGCAGCCGCGGUAAUACGUAUGGUGCGAGCGUUAAUCGGAAUUACUGGGCGUAAAGUGUGCGCAGGUGGCCGCGCAAGUCGAGUGUGAAAUCCCCGGGCUUAACUUGGGAAUUGCGCUCGAAACUACGUGGCUAGAGUGUGGCAGAGGGAGGUGGAAUUCCACGUGUAGCGGUGAAAUGCGUAGAGAUGUGGAGGAACACCAAUGGCGAAGGCAGCCUCCUG
rnacentral:rRNA from 1 species